UACACUACAUCACCCCCCUCCAGAGAA
rnacentral:sRNA from 1 species